GACGAACGCUGGCGGCGUGCUUAACACAUGCAAGUCGAACGGAAAGGCCCUGCUUUUGUGGGGUGCUCGAGUGGCGAACGGGUGAGUAACACGUGAGUAACCUGCCCUUGACUUUGGGAUAACUUCAGGAAACUGGGGCUAAUACCGGAUAGGAGCUCCUGCUGCAUGGUGGGGGUUGGAAAGUUUCGGCGGUUGGGGAUGGACUCGCGGCUUAUCAGCUUGUUGGUGGGGUAGUGGCUUACCAAGGCUUUGACGGGUAGCCGGCCUGAGAGGGUGACCGGCCACAUUGGGACUGAGAUACGGCCCAGACUCCUACGGGAGGCAGCAGUGGGGAAUAUUGCACAAUGGGCGGAAGCCUGAUGCAGCAACGCCGCGUGCGGGAUGACGGCCUUCGGGUUGUAAACCGCUUUCGCCUGUGACGAAGCGUGAGUGACGGUAAUGGGUAAAGAAGCACCAGCUAACUACGCG
rnacentral:rRNA from 1 species